AUAAGUUUCAAAAGUACAAAGGGAAGAUAAUUCAUCCUGUCUUCUGAAGUGCACUUAAUACUGAAAAGAAAUAGUCCAGUUUACUGUGAACUCAUGCGGGAAUUCAGCCUUUGAGGUUUGCAGUCUGAAUUUUCGCUUAUUGCAGUUCAUGUGGAUCAGAGUCUAUCUGAGUAGCAUUGAAGACAAGGUAGGCACCUACCAAGGCUGGAAUGAAUAUUACUAUAUUCAUCUUUUGAUUAUGUAAUCUGAAUUAUCCAGUUCAGGAUCCUCCAGGUAGGGAAUUUCCCAGUUAAAUCUAACAUGGAUUAAAGCAAACAUUGUUAUACUUUCAUUAAAACACUUAAUGUUCCCUUGAAAAAAAGGAGAUGUUACAUUGAACAAAGAAGGACUUCACAUCCAGAUUACUAGAUUGCAAUCUAAGAUGUGGAAUACCUGCCACCUAAAUGUCUCAUGUUAUGUUUAAAAAAAUGCAUUCUAAAGAAAAUAGCUGAACUAAAGAAAAACAGGAAUGCUUUAUGUAUAUUGGUCUGAUUUCCUUUUUUUUCGAUGUCAUGCCAGUUGUCAUAACAGUCAGGGCUUCAGUGCUUAAAAAUGUUAAGGACAGCUGUAGGAUGCUGGAAUUGUUUUCUUAGUCUGGUCACUGUCUUUAUGGUGCUUGCAUGAUCUUCUCAUACUGUAUCUGUGUGGGUUUUCUCUGGACAGUUCAAUUUCCUACAAUACCUAAAGGGCUCCCCUGUUAAGAAAAUUGCAGACUUCAUAUUACAGAAAUCGUGUGUUCAUGUACAGCCAACAUCACUUUACGUGACUUCCUCUCGUUUGCUAUGACAUGCCUAGUGCAGUUGCUGAUCUUGUCGCCAAAUAAUGUCAACUUACAUAACUUAAAUUCAAUGGGCAUGUCUCUUUUAGUAAAUGCCUGCUGACUUUCCAGCACAGUCGUGCUCAUGUCUUUUUCAGCCAAUAACAUGCUGCGUGACAGAGCAGGUGCUGCAUGCAAGGUUAACAGGUACCAGUGUUCAGCAGGAAUCUCGAACCUUUUUAUGUUCUUUCCAUUCUUGUCAUGGUACAAAAUGCUGCUGCAAGAAUUAUUACAAGAACAAGAAAAUACAAACACAUAACUCCAGUUCUU